GGGGUUGUGGCUCAGUGGGACAGUGCUUGCUUAGCACAUGGAAGCAUUGAGUUUGAUCUUCAGCACCACAUAAAAAUAAAUCAAUCAAAUGUUUUUUUAAAAAUAUUUUUUAAAAGCUAUUGAGUCGUGAAGCACUAGGCAACUCAGUGAGACCAUGUCUCUAAAUAAAAAAUACAAAAUAGGGCUGGGGAUGUGGUUCAGUGAUCAAGGGCCUCUGAGUUCAAUCCUCGGUACCCCUC
rnacentral:tRNA from 1 species